GUGAGCAAACUUUGUCCGACGGAAGGAGAUCAAAGGAGAAAGGUAAUUCGAAACCUUUUCUCUUAGAAUUUUUCUUUAAGUUUCUAUGUUCAAAAACAUAGAUUAAUAAGAAUAAGAAGUAAAUAAUGUUAGGAAUGAAUUCAUAUUGUUGAAAUAGUAAGAAAAUGAAGAAAUAAGAAUUAGAAGUUUAUUUAAUAAAUUUCUUAAGGAAGUAUAAGAUUCGUAAGGAUUUUGAGCGAUCCGAAUGAAUCUUAUGAAUGAGUAGGUUAAAUAAGUAAGGAAUGAUGUUCUAUAACAUCAAAUUCCAAGAAAAAGUGAAAUCGUAAAAAUAUCGAUUAAAAACGAAGAACACGAAGAACGUUGUUGAUGGACAAAUUUAAAACCAUCGUAGGAUAAUUGUUGUUGAUGGACAAAUUUAAAACCAUCGUAGGAUAAUUGUUGUUGAUGGACAAGUUUAAAACCAUUGCGUAUAAGUUAGAUGCUUAUUGCUUGGUUAGGAACGAUAGAAAAUUUAUGAAGAACGGAUUAAAACGGAGCUAUAACGAAGUUAUGGCGAAAAUUUUGUAAAAGACGAGCGAGAAUUAGAAAGUUAGUAACUGAACCCGAACGUGUAGGGUUUCAUAAGAAAUUAAGAGAACGUAGAAAACAUGAGUCAUAGACUCAAGAAUGAAUGAGUUUCGAGUUCAGAGGACCGAAUUACGGACGAACGAAUGAAGAACGUUAAUAACAUAAAAUGAACGAAUAGCAAAAAUUAAGCCAAUUGAAUGGCAUGUUAACGGAUUUAGAACAAAGUUCUGUCUAUGGGUAAUCGAAGUACGUAAGAUAAGGAAGAAAAUGGCUUUAGAACGACCUCGUUCCGAGUUAUAACGAAGAAGUUAUGAGAUCGGAAAGUAAGCGUCUCAAAAUGAAGUUAACACUUAGAAAAAUUUUCGAGAAGAAGGGCUUGGCGCCGCGGCGCCAACCAUGCCUUGUAAGGUGGCGCUGCAGCACCAGACCGGAGAGCCAGACACUGCUAACUUGUGCCGCAGCGCGAGUUUUAGUGAAGAGAGUGGCGUUGCAGCGCCAGUGAAGGGAAAAAGCCAGAGAAGAGCUUUUAACUGCUCAGCUCUUAGGGGAAGUGUAAGGAAAGAUAAAGAACAUAAUGUUCAACUAAUGUAACACUUAAUCAAGUGUUUUAAACCCUUAAUGAAGGUUGAACAAAAAGAUUAACCGAGAUUAAAAGAAUGUAAUUGCGGAUUAAGGAACCGAGAUCCGGGGAUCGUAGUUGCGAUAAACGAACGUGAGGGAUUGCUAUAAUUGUGAUUCCUUAGACGUUGAGUGACGAGGGUAAUGAAUAACAUUUCGAUGUUAUGUCAUAGUAAUGCGAGUUGAAUGUAAAGCGUAUAGACGCUGUGAAUGCAACGCUUUUGCGAUGAACGAUCGGUCUUAGCAUACAACGUUCGGUAUGGCUUCGACAUUAAGAAAGAAUAAUGAACAUGGGGUUCAUGAGAUGGAUAACGAUUGAAAGCGAUUAAAACCUUGAGUAAAGGUUGAAUGAGAGAUUAAAAGACGAGUAACAUGAACGUUGAAUACGUAAACGAUCCUCGUGAAUCGUAUUCGCAUUGGACGAACGUUCUAAGUAUACCCUGGUUGUAUGACGUAGACGUUGACAAAGGUAGUAAGUAAGAUAUGAAUUAUCGAGAAAGCCGUAACGAACGGUAAUAAGAGUAUUGAAAGCCGAAUGUGAGUCGAAUAAGAACGAAUCCUGAGGUAUGGCAUUUAGUUGUCAGAAAGCCAAAAGGAAUAAGAAAUUGACUUAACGAACAUUAUAGUUAAUAGUUCGUAUAAGUUAAGAUAAGUUUAGGUUGUGGUACAAUCGUAACCUUUGAUGGUUGACAUAUAGGAGCUGGGCUAAACAAUUCCUUCAGAGAGCGAAGGUAUAUGCGAAACUAGCAACCGAUCUAACUCACUGUGAUGGCAGUGUAGAUGAGACGGAAACUUGUUUGUUGGUUGUUUGUGGGAAACCACUCAGAGUACCAUAUGGACUACCAGCAGAGAAGAGAUGUGUACUGAGUCCUAGAGAAGUUAUAAGAAGAAGAUAAGAAUGUAAAUCAUCAAAGAUGAAGAACGUUUUGAGUAAGACAUCUCCGUAUGUCAUAAAGCCGUAGAACGGUAAAGGAAGUUGUCGCGUAAACUUAGGUUGAAAGAACGCGAACCCUAAGAAGUAAAGUUAAAUAAACCAAUGCAUAAGUCAAAUAUAUAUGACUAAUUGGUGUAUGUGUUAUUUUUCUUAUUUGCUACAUAGGAAUGGGAAUGAGCAGUCCAGCGUAAGCUGUUUCUGUGCGUAAGGCAAGUUUCCUAACUUCAUUCAUAUUUUAAAUGAAUGCUAGUUUCUAAAACUUCUCAGAUGUUGAACUUGAGAAGUUCUGUCUAUGUGCGAAUGUGUAAUAUUUGUACAAGGUGGUAAAAUGUAUGAGGCCUUGUGCCACAAUGUGAACACUUUGGUGUUUCUAUGAUAUGAACUGUUCUGUGAUUGUACUGUUCAAUAUGAGCGUGUUCUAUUUAUACAUGAACCGUUAUCAUUAAGUCUGUGCUAUUGAUUCUAGCCAAACAGAAUGUAUAUGAAAGAAAGUAGAGAAUGAAAGUAUUUCAAAGUGAAUGUGAUUAAUAUUUUAAAAUGAUAGGAAUCGAGAUUAUUCCUAUUGUUCAAGCUGCUUCAUAACCUUUGUUCGGUUAUCAAAGUUUCAAAAGGAAUGUUAAACUCUUGAAGUUGUUUGUUCAACUGCUAUGACUUUCUGAGCAAUUGAAUGCUCACACUUGCUUUAAAUAAAAACAUUUUCAGCGAACGAUGUUAAAAAGAAUUUAAGGAUCCCAUAAAGAUCAAGCUGAUCGGUAUCCAGAAGAAGUGCCAUUCAUUAGAUGAAUGAGCGUGAAGAUCAAGUGAAAACUUUUAAUAUAGAAUGAUAGAAUUAAACUAUAGAAUAGUUUAAUGAACGAUUAUGUAUCCUUGGUGGCGGAUAAAAGUCAAUUGUACAAGAUGUAAAGAAUAAUGUACUUAUCAUUAUUUGGAAUGAAAGAGGUUUUAAGGUUUUAGAACCUGGGAAUUUAGAAUGUAUGUUAUUAUAUUUCAGUAUAUAAUGAUGUAUGUUUUGAUGAAUGGUGUACUCGUGACGUACGUAAUCCGGGUGACUAAAUAAAUCAGAUUUCGAGGCGUUACAAGGUCCAUUGUAACCACUUGAAAUUCCAGAAUGGAAGUGGGAGCAUAUUAUCAUGGAUUUCGUUACUGGUCUUCCCAAGGUUUCUGAAGGCAUAGAUGCAAUUUGGGUCAUUGUUGAUAGAUUGACCAAGUCUACUCAUUUCUUACCUAUACGAGAAACUUAUACACUUGAACGUCUUGCUCGUAUGUACAUAAACGAGGUUGUAAGAUUGCAUGGUAUGCCAGUAUCCAUAGUUUCUGAUCGAGACCCAAGAUUCACUUCACGAUUUUGGGU
rnacentral:lncRNA from 1 species